UUUCCGGCAGUAGAAACGCCAGACGGUCAUUCCUAAACUACACACAGAAUACAGCACUCUCGGGGGAAACGUACGCUAUAUUACUUAAAGGAAAUGAUAACAAGAGCAAGUUUAACUGUACUAGCUAACAGGUUGCAAACACGUGUUGAUUAACUCAACAAACAUCAUAUUACGACAAACUUACUUAUCGUCAGUGACUCGGAACACUCGGAAUAACGAGAGUGGAUUACUUGGGAUAACUACGAGGAUAAGUGCGGUAGGUAAACAACUUUAGCUCAUUUGUCAGAGCGUGCUGAGUCGGCACGUCUGCUCAUCGCUGCAGGCACAGAAAAAAGAAACCAAGUAGGAAACACGUGAAUUGAACACACAAACAUAUCGCGACAAAUGAAGUAUCGCGGGAAUGCAUAUAAAAGUCAAGCCUUUUCUACAAGGAGCAACACUGUUCGUGUAAAGAUGGAUCACACCAGUUAACUGCCAGCAGCUGCUGGACGCGGUCAACACCGUGCGCUCCCAGUACAGCAGCGCCAACCUGCAGAUCUCUGACGAGAUGCAGAGCAGAGAUGCAGAGCGAUCGGCUGGCUCGGAUCUCCCAGGACCUCUGCAGCUCCACAGCGCUGCUUCCGUGAGAACAUCCCCAUCACCGUCUGACGCGCUGCGCACGGCGAAAUGCGCUUCGGUUCUGUCUGCGAUCCGGUUCCGUCUGCGAUCCGGGUUUCAGUGAAAGUAUGCAGGACUGUGAGCUAUAGUACUUCCCUCUUGGCUGGCCUCCCAGCGUCCGCCAUUAGACCCCUCCAACUUAUCCAGAAUGCAGCAGCUCGUCUGGUCUUCAACCUUCCCAAAUACUCACACGUCACCCCCCUGCUUACUUCCCUCCACUGGCUGCCUGUCAUGGCUCCCAUCAAAUUCAAAACAUUGGUGCUAGCCUUCCAAGCAGUUAAGGGGUCUUCCCCAGCUUACCUACAAAAAAUCAUCAGACCCUACACCCCUGCCAGACCUCUUCGUUCAGCCUCCACAUGCCGCUUGGCACCUCCCCCUCUCCGAACUUCCACCUCACGCUCACGACUACUGUCUAUUCUGGCUCCAUGGUGGUGGAAUGAACUCCCCGUUGAGGUCAGAACUGUAGAAUCUCUCCCCACCUUCAAGCGCAAACUGAAGAUGCACCUCUUCAAGCAGCACCUCUCCCCGUCCCUCCCUACCUCCCUGUGAACUUUAAUUGUUGUCUUUCUGUGAUUUACUUUUUUGUGUAUCAGUAUUUUUUGUUUGGCUAGGUAAGCAGUGUUUGGCUAGUUAAGUUUGGUCACUUUUGCUUUGUUAUUUGUUUGUUUAUUUGUUUGUUUAUAAAAAAUAAAAAUUCAAAUAGG